rnacentral:lncRNA from 1 species
CUCCAUCUUUUAUUUAUUUAACAAUUGAUCAAUAUUGUACCAGAAGUGACUCCAAUAAACCUGAAAGUGGGAUCCAAACUUUAAACUCUUGAAUCCACUACCUUCAAAACCAAAUACAUUCUUCUGUUUCAUAAUUUUGAAUAAAAAUUUUCAAACUGAUUCUAAGGUAAAUGCUUCACUCACAGCUCUGUCUGCACUCUAUACCUCUGAAAGCUGAUGCAAGGUCACUACUCCAAGGUUGUUUGGAAUCUUGGAUGGCAAAUUUACGGAAAUUUUAAAGGGAAGGUGCAUAGGGAAUUAAAUUGCAUCUAUUAAUUUUACCAAAUUACUAGCUUCUGUAUUUAUUUUGAGAAUUAAAUUUUUUGAAUAAUCAACUACACGUACUCAGUUACACACUAGUUAUGACUGGAGAAUGUGUAACUUGUCUAAGUUUCACAACUCAAUUUCAGUGAAGGUGUUUAACAAAGGCCUAAUGCCACAUAGACUUUUGUACAAUGAAAAUGCAGUCAUAGGCACCACUAAGUCAAAAGUUAGUUAGUUGUUUACAAUAAUUUAAGGGUUAAAUAGGAUUUUUAAGUCCCUAC